UCAGAUAAUAAUUUAAAUUAAAAUGAUAACUUUGGGGGUUAUUUAUCUUCAUGGAAGUUAUCUGAA
rnacentral:tRNA from 1 species